rnacentral:rRNA from 1 species
AACGAACGCUGGCGGCGUGGAUGAGGCAUGACAAGUCGAACGCUCUUUGUCGUGUAGCAAUAUAUGGCAAAGGGAGUGGCGCAAGGGUGAGGAAUACGUGGGUAAUCUGCCUCCUAGAUGGGCACAACCUGGCGAAAGCCGGACUAAUUCCCAAUGUGGUAGUCGCGCGCAUGCGCGACGAUCUGAAGCCGGGGACCGCAAGGCCUGGCGCUAGGAGAUGAGCUCACGCCCUAUCAGCUUGUGGUGAGGUAACGGCUCACCAAGGCUUACGGGUAGCUGGUCUGAGGAGGACGAUC